GAAGCAUGUGUUCUUGUGUGAAUAGGGAGGUGAGAGAGGACCAGAGGAGGUGAAGGCAGUUGGGGUGGGGAGAUGAAGGGAGCAGGUGUCUGAGGGAGACGGUGGCAGCUGCGGCAGGAACACCUGAGGGACCGGGGCCAGGUGCAGCAAAGAACACAAGGUGUGGAUUUCAGGUUUCAUAAAGGAGGCAGAUGGAGUGACACAUUAUCUGGUAUUGUGAUGGGGUGGAACAUGAGAGAAGGAGAAGGUUGUGGGAAUUCAGGUGGUUCAAGAACUGAGAGCUUAGAGUUGAAGCUCAAGUUGCUAGUACUCCUGGGGAAGGAACAAUGACAACAUCAGAUUAUCUUAAAACCAGAAGGAAAUGAGGGAAGAAACACAGUGAUCCGGAGCUGAAGCGCAGCCACGAGGAGCCAGAAAACGGAGGAGGGUGACUGUUCUGCUGAAGAUUGUACCUUCUAAUUCAGAAAACUUAGUCACCAGACUGAGAACAGAUAACAAGAGUAGGAGGAAGGACUGGGGAGUGUGGGGAAACGUUUCACAAAGCUCUGAAAUCCGCAGCAUGCAGAGCAAGCUCUUGACAAACUCGCAGCCUUCUGGAACCUUCGGAAAAUGAAAAUCCAACUCAUAGGAUAAAGCAAAUAGCCCCACUGGGUAUUUCACAGAGCAUAUCUAACUAACACCCAUCGAAGCUCUGAACAGUGGAGAUGGUUCUAAAAGCAUCAUCUACCCCUAGGCAAGAUUAUAUUCAGUCCUCGAAUAAUCUCUAAAAUGUGGCUCCAUUUUGAAAAUCACCAUUUUGUGCCUAAAUG